AAGAACAAUUUACAACACCUUCGAAAGGUGUGUUCUUGACACUUGCAAGACAUUUCUUGCAAAUACCCCUUCCAUUGUCCAUCCUUUCAUAAAGAAAGUUUGUUCCCUUGGAGUUAUUUCGCUUUCUUCAUUUGACUUCUCCUUUGACUACAAUAGUCAUGGUCCCUAAACUCCCACUGUCUCUCUUGAAAACUUAUUUCAAUUGUGUUAUACACAUCAAACGAUUUUGGAGAGCGUGUGGUUAUUGUUCACUAUAUAGUUUACAAUAAACUUAGUGAACCAUUUGGAUAGGGACACAAAGGUGAAGUCCUUGCCUAGUUUCCGUCUCUAGAAGUGGUGUAACACUUCAACACUCAAUGAUUCAAAAUCAUCAUAAGUCCAUGUUGAUGGACUAUUUUUGUCAACCAACCAUUAUGUUCUAAACAUAAUUACAAACUUUCAAGAGUUGUUCAAGGCAACUCUCAUUUCUUCAUACAACAAUUUGUAAGUGAAGAAUUAUGGCACAUAAAGUGUCCAUGCCUUUGUGCUUUCUUCUUAAGUUCCUUGUUCAUGUAACAAAGAAACAAGCACUAAUGUUUGCGUUAGUUAAGGGUUGUUCAAAGCAACUCUUAUUUCUUCAUACAACGAUUUGUAAUUGAAGAAUUAUGACUUUAAAAGUGUUGUCCUCUUUAUGAUAGACUUUAUCUAACAAGUUCUUCCAAUGGUACAUUAUCAAUAGAAAGAUUGUGAGGAUGAGACUACUUAGGUACAUAUACAAUCCAUUUAAGACAAUCUUUGGGAUUGUUGUACC
rnacentral:lncRNA from 1 species